UACGAAGGGGGCUAGCGUUGCUCGGAAUCAUUGGGCGUAAAGCGCACGUAGGCGGCCUGAUAAGUCGGGUGUGAAAGCCCUGGGCUCAACCCAGGAAGUGCACUCGAAACUGUCAGGCUUGAAUAUGGAAGAGGGUCGCGGAAUUCCCGGUGUAGAGGUGAAAUUCGUAGAUAUCGGGAGGAACACCAGUGGCGAAGGCGGCGACCUGGGCCAAUAUUGACGCUGAGGUGCGAAAGCGUGGGGAGCAAACAGG
rnacentral:rRNA from 1 species